rnacentral:lncRNA from 1 species
GUCGCGCCGAGCCGAGCCGAGCCGAGCGGAGCCGGCGGAGCCUCUGGAAUCACCCGGGUCGCUGUUCCUGAGGUGGUCAAGGUGGACAGGGGGCGGUGGUGAUGGCGCAGUUUGACACUGAAUACCAGCGCCUAGAGGCCUCCUAUAGUGAUUCACCCCCAGGGGAGGAGGACCUGUUGGUGCACGUCGCCGAGGGGAGCAAGUGUGAGUUCUUGGAUAUGACAGCCAUAGGGAGAGUUGAUGGAAGAACAUGGAGAGAGCAAGGGGCUUGUGUUCUCCCAGGGCUCUGACAUCUCUGUUCCUAUCCCACAGCACCUUGGCACCAUAUUGAAAACCUUGACCUCUUCUUCUCUCGAGUUUAUAAUCUGCACCAGAAGAAUGGCUUCACAUGUAUGCUCAUCGGGGAGAUCUUUGAGCUCAUGCAGUUCCUCUUUGUGGUUGCCUUCACUACCUUCCUGGUCAGCUGCGUGGACUAUGACAUCCUAUUUGCCAACAAGAUGGUGAACCACAGUCUUCACCCUACUGAACCCGUCAAGGUCACUCUGCCAGACGCCUUUUUGCCUGCUCAAGUCUGUAGUG